CCUGAAGCAAAUAAAUAAAUCUUUAAGGAAAGGGGGUCUGAAAAAUCCCUUAAAGAGCCACCAAGAAGAGCACAGAGGACAUGGACUGGGGGGUUCGCCCUGUGCAGAAAAGUGCGUGAAAGACAUCAUCCGCCAGGGGGUCAGGGCUCCGUCCGGCGUGGGCCACAUGCCCAUCUCGCCCGCACACAGGCCGGCCGGGAGGGCCGAGCGCGCGGCGUACGCGAGAAGCGGCCCAAGGCUCGCCGGCACCUCCCUUCCCAAACCCAGGUUCGCUCCGCGCAGGCGCGCUUCUCCGCGUUCCGGCGCUCCGAACGCGCAACGAAACCGCCCCAAGAUCCCCUCACCUCCCCUUCGCGUCAAGGAGGCAGAAACGCGGGGGAAACCUCGGUUACGACAACCUCGUCGUUUAGCGGAGCCCGAGCGCCCGUUUCAUGGAAGACGUACCCGACGGUGCGUGAGGGAAGCCUGCCUCCGUCACCCACCCGAUGAACGGAAACACCAGGCAGGCACAGAACACUUGAACGCGCGCCUUUGUCAUCAAGACACUUACUCUGACUUCGUCCUCAGGACCUUGGAACCUCAAGCCAGAUUCUGUUGCCCACCUAGAACUUGGAAUAGAGCAGUGCAUGAUGGACAGAGGGCUCUCCCAAGAUUCCCGCCUAGGUGAGAUGGGAAAGGAUCUUUACAGUCAGUGUUUGUUUAUAUGUUCCUUCAUAUCUUCCUUCUCUGCUGCUUUUCAUUACCUUUUCAUUUCCAUAAUUCCAUCUGGGAUCAUUUUCCUUUUGCUUAGAGUUCCCUUUAUCAUUUCUUUUAGAGUGACAAAACGCCUUCAUUUUGUGUUUGCCUGAAAAUGCCUUUAUUUCAUCUUCAUUUUGGAAAGAUACUGUAAACAGAAUUUUAGGUUGUCGGGUUUUGGGUUUUGUUUUUUUUUUU
rnacentral:lncRNA from 1 species